GACGAACGCUGGCGGCGUGCUUAACACAUGCAAGUCGAACGGAAAGGCCCCUUCGGGGGUACUCGAGUGGCGAACGGGUGAGUAACACGUGAGUAACCUGCCCUUGACUUCGGGAUAACUUCAGGAAACUGGGGCUAAUACCGGAUAGGAAUCCUUGCUGCAUGGUGGGGGUUGGAAAGCUUCGGCGGUUUUGGAUGGACUCGCGGCUUAUCAGCUUGUUGGUGGGGUAGUGGCUUACCAAGGCUUUGACGGGUAGCCGGCCUGAGAGGGCGACCGGCCACAUUGGGACUGAGAUACGGCCCAGACUCCUACGGGAGGCAGCAGUGGGGAAUAUUGCACAAGGGGCGGAAGCCUGAUGCAGCAACGCCGCGGGCGGGAUGACGGCCUUCGGGUUGUAAACCGCUUUCAGCAGGGGCGAAGCUUGUGGUGACGGUACCUGCAGAAGAAGCACCGGCUAACUACGUG
rnacentral:rRNA from 1 species